UCGGAUGUUCUACUAUUUUCGUCACGUUUGGAAGGGAAAAAAGAAAAAUCGUCAGCACAUUCUGGUCAUCAUAUUAUGGAAAUAUUUGUGACUGAAUCCCAUCUGAAUGUUGGAUGACAUAUAUCAAGAUGACACUGAACAGGACAUAACUGAGGAAAAUGGAUGUGAGAUAAUCCAAUCUAACAGUUGGAAAUAAAUAUAUAUAGUAUUUA